rnacentral:misc_RNA from 1 species
GGGGACUAAACUAACCUAAACUAUGAUUUUGUUAGAACUAUUAGCAGCAGGUAUACACUAUGUUAAACCGUAAUGGUAAGAGACACAAACCUUGCUCACCAACAAGGAAGGAUUCAACUCAGUUUGUCAACUAUUCCAGUCUGAUUCUCAUUCAUCACACGAACUGGUUUGAUUAGCUCAUCGGGAUCGUCUAACAGUAACUCGGGGAGAUAACCAGGACAAAACGACGUAGUCUGGCUCGUUGAGUCAUGGCUUUCUGCAAUAUCUUCGUCACUACUGACAUCAAGGCUGAUAUAAUCUGUCA